rnacentral:sRNA from 1 species
GAAUUACCUUCGUUACCGAGUUCAUGCGAACAUUCUUCAACAGAUUAGGGCUGUCGUAGUUCUAUUUUAAUACUCCAGUCAUUUUCUAAAUAUUCUCUAUUUUCUGGGCUUCUCUAACAGUGAGGUGAUAUCCUAACGCUUCUCAGGCUGCAUGGACUCCUUGUUCCUGGGUUGCUCAGGACGCUUGUGGAGUAAGGCUUGCCCAGCGCCCUUCCCCAGCUGGGCUUGGUCCCCUGACCGCCCAGCAGCUGCCUCUCCUUUCCCUGGAUUCUGGUCUUGAGCGUUUCCUCCACAAAUGUGCCUGAGAUUGGAGAACUCAAAGCCCCUCUGAGUCAUAAGGGAAAGUUAUGCACACUUAAAUUUAGCUGAACACUAAUUUUUAUAGUAUUGAUUUUGUGACCUCGAUAAACUUGGUUCAUGCUGGAAGGCAGUCUCUGUCCUUGGUGUGGUAGAAAGGCCUGGGGGUGAGGACCCACGCCAGACAGACGCGAGGCAGACACGGGACACAUGCCAGACAGGCAGACACGAGGCACGUGGUUCUGAGGGCUCCUCAGAGGCCCACAUGCCUGGCCCGCCCAGCCGCCCUCCCCCAGGCCUGCCCAACCACCUUCCCCUAGUCCUGAGAAACCCCCGACCGCCACCUCCCCCAGCCCUGAGGGGCCUGUGGGCUCCUUGUCGGGAGCAGGCUGGGCUGCAGGUGUCACCACAGCCUGGUCCAGCUAUAGGCUUCUCUAGUAUUAGCACCUCUGCCCCUCACAGUGCCUAGUGGCCCAGGCCCAGCUCUGUCCCCAUGUUACAGAUGGGGACACCGAGCCACGGCCAGGACCAGUGACUUGCCGAGGUUGUGGGCUGGGGUGUUCCUGGCUGAUUCCCAGGUUCUUGGCUCCCUGAAAGUGCGAGAUGCUGUGUCUGUGAGGUACCUGCAGCAUCGAACGCUUCGCAUACAGAACCAGUUUUCUUCCUCAUUUCAGCGAUGUGGCACCAGCUGGCUUUUGCUGACCAUCGUGGCAACAGGCUGAGGCUGUGGCCUGGGUCCACCACUACUCUCUAUUUUCCAGGGCAAGGCUGCAGCUCUACCGGACGCGGGACAUGGGCUGGGGCGUGCGGUCCCUGCAGGACAUCCCACUAGGCACCUUUGUCUGCGAGUAUGUUGGGGAGCUGAUUUCAGACUCGGAAGCCGAUGUUCGAGAGGAAGAUUCUUACCUCUUUGAUCUCGACAAUAAGGACGGGGAGGUUUACUGCAUCGACGCGCGGUUCUACGGGAACGUCAGCCGGUUCAUCAACCACCACUGCGAGCCCAACCUGGUGCCCGUGCGCGUGUUCAUGGCCCACCAGGACCUGCGGUUUCCCCGGAUCGCCUUCUUCAGCACCCGCCUGAUCGAGGCCGGCGAGCAACUCGGGUUUGACUAUGGAGAGCGCUUCUGGGACAUCAAAGGCAAGCUCUUCAGCUGCCGUUGCGGCUCCCCCAAGUGCCGGCACUCGAGCGCGGCCCUGGCCCAGCGUCAGGCCAGCGCGGCCCAGGAGGCCCAGGAGGAUGGCUUGCCCGACACCAGCUCCGCGGCUGCCGCCGACCCCCUAUGAGACGCCGCCGGCCAGAGGGGCGCUCGGGAGCCAGGGACCGCCGCGUCUCCGUUUAGAGGACGAGGAGGAGAGAUUCCGCACGUGACUGAAAGGUCCUUCGGGGCUGCGCCGCCGGCUUCCUGGAGGGGUCGGAGGUGAGGCUGCAGCCCCUGCGGGCGGGUGUGGACGCCUCCCAGCCGCCUUCCCAGACCUGCGGCCUCACCGCGGGCCCAGUGCCCAGGCUGGAGCGCACACUUUGGUCCGCGCCCCAAAGACGCUGGGAGUCCGCACUGGCAUCACCUUCUGAGUUUCUGAUGCUGAUUUGUCGUUGCGAAGUUUCUCGUUUCUUCCUCUGACCUCCGAGGUCCCCGCUGCACCACGGGGUUGCUCUGUUCUCCUGUCCGGCCCAGACUCUUCUGUGUGGCGCCGCCGAAGCCACCGUUAGCGCGAGCUGCUCCGUUCGCCCUGCCCGCGGCCUGCGUGGCUGGCGCCGAGUCCCAGGGGCCGCACAGAAGGCACGGUCUCCUGUCAGGCUCGGAGAGGUCAGGAGACCGACCCCACCACUAACUUUGGAGAAAAUGUGGGUUUGCUUUUUAAAGGAAUCCUAUAUCUAGUCCUAUAUAUCAAACCUCUAACUGACGUUUCUUUUCGAGGAAGUGGCUUGGUGGGUGCAGCCCCCGCCGGUUCCGUUGACGCUGGCACCUUCUGUUGAUUUUUUAAGCCACAUGCUAUGAUGAAUAAACUGAUUUAUUUUCUACCAUUACUGAACAUUAGGACAAACGAAAAAUAAAAAACAAAACACAGACAACGGUGCUGAUUCUGGUGUGGUUUCUACUCACCACGUGAAAUAAACUAUCAACUGUAUAAAGAGAACAAAGUGAUUUUAGAAUAAAAUGCAGGAAAACUUUUUUAAAAAUGUUAGUCUUGUAGUGUGAAUAAAUUUGCCAUCACCUUUUGUGUGGUGGCCCGGCAGGUCAUAUACUUUUUUUUGGCAUAUACCUUUUUAAAGACUGUAAUUAGUGCAGUAACAGUGGGGUUUUUUUUGUGCAACUCUUCUAAAACAUUCAUAAUGCAGUCAUGUUUAUUUUUUUCUGUUAAAAUGUUUUUGACAGUUUUAAGAGCAGUCUUUUGGCUCUGACCAUUUCUUGUUCUGUUUUCAAUGAAAUCAAUAAAAAAAAA